AAGCGCCUGUGACCAGACUUGCGCCCCGUGGACCACCCGGCGUUCUCGCCGGUGCACUCCGCGGGGCGCAGGCCAGCAUCGGUUUUCCUAGGGGGACAAAGGCCGCGGGAACGUAGCUCCUUCGGGAGUGUUAUAGCCCGCGGCGGCAUGCCCCUGGGGGGACCGAGGACCGCGCUUCGGCAAGGAUGCUGGCGUAAUGGUCACCAGCGA
rnacentral:rRNA from 1 species